rnacentral:lncRNA from 1 species
AGACUGUGUAAUUUAUAAAGGAAAGAGGUUUAAUUGACUCACAGUUCAGCAUGACUGGAGAAGCCUCAGGAAACUUACAAUCCUGAUAGAAGGAGAAGCAAAUAUGUCCUUCUUCACACGGCGGCAGGAAGAAAUGCCAAGGAAAAGGGGGAAAAAGCCCCUUAUAAAACCAUCAUAUCUCAUGAGGAUUCAUUCUCUAUCAUGAGAACAACAUGAGGGUGCUGAACCAGAGCCAUUUUCCAAAACCCUCCUGGCCUCCCGGACCUGUGACGCUUCCUGCAGUUGAUGUGCAAAGUCUCGCUACAAAACCAGCCCCAGGAACACAGAGCCCCAUGUUUCCUCCCUGAAGGACCCAGGGCCUCUAUUCUUCAGUGUCCUCUAUACACAACUCCUUUUGGGGUAUGACAGCUUCACUGCCGGAGGCAACACCAUCUGUAUUCGUGGGAAAGGAGGUGGCUGGGUAGAAGCAGAGGUGUGACUUACAGAUGGGGCAUGCACGGAGGAAGAGUAACAACUGGACAAACACAAGGAAAGAGCAAUGGGGCAAGGACUGCAGGAUGUUGGUAUGGACAAGGUUGAAGCAAUGGACUGCAGAGUGUAAACUCCUAAAAACCACCCAUCUUUUUAUUGUCUCUGUGGGUUUGCCUUUUCCAAAAUGUCCCUUUGUUACCAUUACAUAUCAUGCAGCCUUUUCACCCUGGCUUCUUUCACUUAUCAAUACGCACUUGGUUCCUGCAUAUCUUUCCAUGGCUUCAUACCUCAUUUCUUUUUACUAGUGGCUAAUAUUCCAUUGUAUGGCUAUAUCACAGUUUCUUUAUCUAUUCACCUAUAAAUAAUAUCUUGGUUGCUUCUGGGUUUUGGUGAUUAUGAAUAAAGAUGUUACAAAUAUUUGCCUG